rnacentral:lncRNA from 7 species
AUAUCGACCCACCCCAAUCGCACCAGGAGCAAUAGCCGAGAGCCACUUCGACGCAGAGUGUGAAACGAGAGUGAGAGCAGGCCGCCGGCAUGGGAAAUCGGAACCGCGACAAGUCUGGGCUUGGGACUCGGCUUUGGGGGAUCAUCGCACCUCGUAGAAGGCGUGCUCCUCAUUGAUUCGGGCGAAGUUCACUGGAGCCCUGUGUAAUUUCUCGUCGUCGAGCCUAAUCCACCACAGAUCCGCUCUUCCAAGUGGAUUGCCCGCCUGCGCGCAUCAUCCUCGGUAAGGUUUCCUCACCCGCAUUCGCUUUUAUUUCCGCAUCGUGUAGAGCUGUUUGGGUUAGAGGUUGGGGCGCUAGGACCGUAGACUCGCCUCAUCGGUGAAGUCCUCCGCCGUGGUAGUCUUACGAUUCGACCCUUGGUUCCUGGGCCAUAGAUUUCGUGUGUAACGACCACGAUUAGGUGGGGAUACCCCUUCGGUUGUAUUGCACUCGGACCAUUGAGAUCGAAUCCAAGGGUCAGAUUUGGGUCACGUUUCAUAAAACCCUAGCCAUCGAUCUCACGUUGGGCGUUUCAGAUUAGCGCAUGAACAUACCCCAUUGCGACAAUAAGAUUUGGCCGUCGAUCGGUUAGCUAGUGGUUAUGUUGUCACGUGGGCCUCGGACCGUAGAUCCCCGAUCUGAGGACUCGUAUAGCAUACUGAUCUUCUCACCGCUCCAAUCUAACCUGAAUCGUCUGUGUUCGUUCUGGUGGCCCAUAUGCGAUGGUACCCCUUCAGCCAUCCAGCUAUACAAAAUAGCCCCUAGUGCUUUUACUUAUCAACCCACACUCCAGGUUAUUGAUAAAACCAUUACACAUGAGUCCUGGAUAUUGUAGGAUAGACCUUGGAGAACUCCAGAAUAGUGGCGUAGCCCAAUUAGAAACUUGUUUAAUUAAUAAGUGAUUCAUUUAAACUCCUUUUUGAUCCAUUUUGUUAUGAAGCAUAGGUUAAAAUUAUGCACUUAAUUCAUUCUAUAUCUAACACUUAAAACUUCAGAAAAUCAUAACUCUUCAACCGUAACUCCGAAUUUAGUGAUUCUCGAACCUACGAUCUCGUUACGAUGUGUAGAACAUUAUUAUGCAGUAUGAUCUUAUGUUUGGUGUGAUGUUAAUUUCUCCUAUACCAUGUUUGUUUGUAUUGUUGCGAGUACGAGGAAGCAUCCGAGGAUCCCGGUACCCAAUAGGUGGAAAAUACUGAGCAGGAGCUCAUUGAAGGCAACUUGUGCCCUUGAUCACUUCUCUUUACCCAAUAAUGUUCAUGUUAAUCGUUAUGAUCUGCAUAGGCUAAUUUUGCUGGGACCCAAUAGGUCACCCUAGUUUGGUCAUCUUUAUACCUUGUUUACCACUCAACUUUUGAGUAGUACCUGUUAUUGCUUUAUGUGGUUUUAGGUGUUAAGAUACACAUUAUUCAUGAUCAUGCUUUUAUUACAAAUGAGUUAUUUACUGUUCAUGACAAGAUCAUUAUGUUAAUUAGAACAUGGAGCGACCACCCGGGAAAAUAGUGCUACCACAAGGGUGGUAUCGGAUGCCCUUGGCUAACUAAUUAGGAAAUCUAGUGGAGGACUACCUUACUCGAAAGGGGCAAGGGCGGGGAGUUGUCGUUAUAGGGAGGUUCUCAGGUUGAUCUUGCUGAGAUGGCUUUUCAGACGGAGGAUUCCUAUAUUGCGCUCCUUAGAAAUCGUAGAGGGUUUUCUGAAGCUAAUGGAACUUUGUAAAUGCUUCAUAGUGUUACCGUGCCUCGCUUCCUUGGUAGAGGUGUGUGGGGCCUAUACAACCCCAUGGCAGAUGGAUAACAUGACUUGUGGGUAAAGAUGUGCAACCUCUGCAGAGUGUAAAACUGGUAUAUCAGCCGUGCUCACGGUCAUGAGCGGCUCGGACCCUCACAUGAGUAACUUAUGGAAUUAAAUUUAAUAGGUCAUUUGCAUCGCAUUGUGGUUUAUUUAUUAAUUGCGAUCUCUCAAUAUUUGGACUGGUACUUACUUAUACUUAGUAAGUGCUAAUAAUACUUGACCAACUUAUUAAAAGCAAUGAUUUACCUUUACCCAUUAUUUGUUGAUCAACUUUACACUUCACAUGAGCUCCCACCUUUGGUGAGUUCAUGCACAUUAUUUCCCACAACUUGUUGAGCUAUGAUCUUUUGUGAUCUCGCCCUUGAGAUAUAUAACCCCCACAUGUGAAGAGCAGGUAGCCUAGGAGGAGGACUACUACGAGGAGUACGAGGAAGUCUAGGUGGUGUCUCCCAGUCUUAAUGGCGCCAAGGAAUAAUAUUAGUUCGUUUAUUUGUUAUCAUUUAUUUUUGUAAGACACUUCCACAAUGUAAUAAUAUUUGUGACAUUUAUCUCUAUACACUUGGU